AUCAUUCAGUUGGGCGACUCUAGCGAGACUGCCGGUAAUAAACCGGAGGAAGGUGGGGAUGACGUCAAAUCAUCAUGCCCUUAUGACCUGGGCUACACACGUGCUACAAUGGUUGGUACAACGAGUUGCGAGUCGGUGACGGCGAGCUAAUCUCUUAAAGCCAAUCUCAGUUCGGAUUGUAGGCUGCAACUCGCCUACACGAAGUCGGAAUCGCUAGUAAUCGCGGAUCAGCACGCCGCGGUGAAUACGUUCCCGGGCCUU
rnacentral:rRNA from 1 species